rnacentral:rRNA from 3 species
UGGGAAGGCCCAGACAGCCAGGAUGUUGGCUUAGAAGCAGCCAUCAUUUAAAGAAAGCGUAAUAGCUCACUGGUCGAGUCGGCCUGCGCGGAAGAUGUAACGGGGCUAAACCAUGCACCGAAGCUGCGGCAGCGACACCGUGUGUUGUUGGGUAGGGGAGCGUUCUGUAAGCCUGUGAAGGUGUGCUGUGAGGCAUGCUGGAGGUAUCAGAAGUGCGAAUGCUGACAUAAGUAACGAUAAAGCGGGUGAAAAGCCCGCUCGCCGGAAGACCAAGGGUUCCUGUCCAACGUUAAUCGGGGCAGGGUGAGUCGACCCCUAAGGCGAGGCCGAAAGGCGUAGUCGAUGGGAAACGGGUUAAUAUUCCCGUACUUGGUGUUACUGCGAAGGGGGGACGGAGAAGGCUAUGUUGGCCGGGCGACGGUUGUCCCGGUUUAAGCGUGUAGGUAUGUGUUCCAGGUAAAUCCGGUUCACUUUAACACUGAGGCGUGACGACGAGGCACUACGGUGCUGAAGCAACAAAUGCCCUGCUUCCAGGAAAAGCCUCUAAGCAUCAGGUAACAUCAAAUCGUACCCCAAACCGACACAGGUGGUCAGGUAGAGAAUACCAAGGCGCUUGAGAGAACUCG